CCUACGGGAGGCAGCAGUGGGGGAUAUUGCACAAUGGGGGAAACCCUGAUGCAGCGACGCCGCGUGGGUGAAGAAGCGCCUCGGCGCGUAAAGCCCUGUCAGCAGGGAAGAAAAUGACGGUACCUGAAGAAGAAGCCCCGGCUAACUACGUGCCAGCAGCCGCGGUAAUACGUAGGGGGCAAGCGUUAUCCGGAUUUACUGGGUGUAAAGGGGGCGCAGACGGCGCUGCAAGCCAGGGGUGAAAGCCCUGGGCACAACCCCGGGACCGCUCUUGGAACUGCGUGGGUAAAGUGCAGGAGGGGCAGGCGGAAUUCCUUGUGGAGCGGGGCAAUGCG
rnacentral:rRNA from 1 species